rnacentral:misc_RNA from 1 species
GAUGAAGAACGUAGCGAAAUGCGGUAAGUAAUGCGAAUUGCAGAAUUCAGUGAGUCAUCGAAUCUUUGAACGCACAUUGCGCCCUGUGGUAUUCCGCAGGGCAUGCCUGUUCGAGCGUCAUUUCAACCCUCAAGCCCCGCUUGGUGUUGGGCCCCGCCCGCUGUGGCCGGCCCUAAAGACAGUGGCGGCGCCGCCUGGCCCUCAGCGUAGUACAUCUCUCGCUCCAGGGUCCGGUGGCCGCCUGCCAGGACCCCCCAACUCUGUGGUUGACCUCGGAUCAGGUAGGGAUACCCGCUGAACUUAAGCAUAUCAAUAAGCGGAGGA